rnacentral:rRNA from 1 species
GGUAGAGCACUGAAUGUCCUAGGGGGUAUUGCACCUACCGAAGACUAUCAAACUCCGAAUGCCGUCAUCUUAUACUUGGGAGUCAGACUGUGGGGGAUAAGAUUCAUAGUCGAAAGGGCAACAGCCCAGAUCGUCAGCUAAGGUCCCUAAAUGUAAGUUAAGUGGGAAAGGAUGUGGGAUUGCACAGACAACCAGGAUGUUGGCUUAGAAGCAGCCACUCAUUCAAAGAGUG